rnacentral:rRNA from 1 species
AGUGAACGCUGGCGGUAGGCCUAACACAUGCAAGUCGAACGGCAGCACAGUAAGAGCUUGCUCUUACGGGUGGCGAGUGGCGGACGGGUGAGGAAUACAUCGGAAUCUACUUUUUCGUGGGGGAUAACGUAGGGAAACUUACGCUAAUACCGCAUACGACCUACGGGUGAAAGCAGGGGAUCUUCGGACCUUGCGCGAUUGAAUGAGCCGAUGUCGGAUUAGCUAGUUGGCGGGGUAAAGGCCCACCAAGGCGACGAUCCGUAGCUGGUCUGAGAGGAUGAUCAGCCACACUGGAACUGGGACACGGUCCAGACUCCUACGGGAGGCAGCAGUGGGGAAUAUUGGACAUUGGGCGCAAGCCUGAUCCAGCCAUACCGCGUGGGUGAAGAAGGCCUUCGGGUUGUAAAGCCCUUUUGUUGGGAAAGAAAAGCAGCAGGUUAAUACCCCGCUGUUCUGACGGUACCCAAAGAAUAAGCACCGGCUAACUUCGUG